rnacentral:lncRNA from 1 species
CCAACCUGAUGCCACCCUGAAAGGCAUCCACCAGGCGAUCUACGACCUCCAUGGCCAGAUCUCAGCAAGAUCUGCCAGCUUCGACUUCAUCUUCAAUUUUUCAGGUUCCUCCUCCUCCGGCAACGGCAGUCGGCAUGGAUCAAUUCGACCUACUGGUUUAGUAGGUUAGGGGCCUCACCGAAGUGGUGCAAGCCAUGCAAUAACAGCAGCAGCCGCAGGCAUCUGUGCG